GGGUUGUGAGGUUAAGCGACUAAGCGUACACGGUGGAUGCCCUGGCAGUCAGAGGCGAUGAAGGACGUGCUAAUCUGCGAAAAGCGCCGGCGAGGUGAUAUGAACCCUUGACCCGGCGAUGUCCGAAUGGGGAAACCCAGUGCAAUCCGUUGCACUAUCGUUAACUGAAUACAUAGGUUAACGAGGCGAACCGGGGGAACUGAAACAUCUAAGUACCCCGAGGAAAAGAAAUCAACCGAGAUUCCCCCAGUAGCGGCGAGCGAACGGGGAGCAGCCCGGAGUCUGAAUCAGCUUGUGUGUUAGUGGAACGGUCUGGAAAGUCCGACGGUACAGGGUGAUAGUCCCGUACACGAAAAUGCACAUGCUGUGAACUCGAAGAGUAGGGCGGGACACGUGGUAUCCUGUCUGAAUAUGGGGGGACCAUCCUCCAAGGCUAAAUACUCCUGACUGACCGAUAGUGAACCAGUACCGUGAGGGAAAGGCGAAAAGAACCCCGGCGAGGGGAGUGAAAAAGAACCUGAAACCGUGUACGUACAAGCAGUGGGAGCCUCUUUAUGGGGUGACUGCGUACCUUUUGUAUAAUGGGUCAGCGACUUAUAUUCUGUAGCAAGGUUAACCGUAUAGGGGAGCCGAAGGGAAACCGAGUCUUAACUGGGCGUUAAGUUGCAGGGUAUAGACCCGAAACCCGGUGAUCUAGCCAUGGGCAGGUUGAAGGUUGGGUAACACUAACUGGAGGACCGAACCGACUAAUGUUGAAAAAUUAGCGGAUGACCUGUGGCUGGGGGUGAAAGGCCAAUCAAACCGGGAGAUAGCUGGUUCUCCCCGAAAGCUAUUUAGGUAGCGCCUCGUGAACUCAUCUUCGGGGGUAGAGCACUGUUUCGGCUAGGGGGCCAUCCCGGCUUACCAACCCGAUGCAAACUACGAAUACCGAAGAAUGUUAUCACGGGAGACACACGGCGGGUGCUAACGUCCGUCGUGAAGAGGGAAACAACCCAGACCGCCAGCUAAGGUCCCAAAGUCAUGGUUAAGUGGGAAACGAUGUGGGAAGGCACAGACAGCCAGGAUGUUGGCUUAGAAGCAGCCAUCAUUUAAAGAAAGCGUAAUAGCUCACUGGUCGAGUCGGCCUGCGCGGAAGAUGUAACGGGGCUAAACCAUGCACCGAAGCUGCGGCAGCGACACUAUGUGUUGUUGGGUAGGGGAGCGUUCUGUAAGCCGUUGAAGGUGUGCUGUGAGGCAUGCUGGAGGUAUCAGAAGUGCGAAUGCUGACAUAAGUAACGAUAAAGCGGGUGAAAAGCCCGCUCGCCGGAAGACCAAGGGUUCCUGUCCAACGUUAAUCGGGGCAGGGUGAGUCGACCCCUAAGGCGAGGCCGAAAGGCGUAGUCGAUGGGAAACAGGUUAAUAUUCCUGUACUUGGUGUUACUGCGAAGGGGGGACGGAGAAGGCUAUGUCAGCCGGGCGACGGUUGUCCCGGUUUAAGCAUGUAGGCGGAGGUUCCAGGUAAAUCCGGUACCUUAUUAACGCUGAGGUGUGAUGACGAGGCACUACGGUGCUGAAGUGAUAAAUGCCCUGCUUCCAGGAAAAGCCUCUAAGCAUCAGGUAACACGAAAUCGUACCCCAAACCGACACAGGUGGUCAGGUAGAGAAUACCAAGGCGCUUGAGAGAACUCGGGUGAAGGAACUAGGCAAAAUGGUGCCGUAACUUCGGGAGAAGGCACGCUGAUGUGUAGGUGAAGCCCCUGCGGGCGGAGCUGAAAUCAGUCGAAGAUACCAGCUGGCUGCAACUGUUUAUUAAAAACACAGCACUGUGCAAACACGAAAGUGGACGUAUACGGUGUGACGCCUGCCCGGUGCCGGAAGGUUAAUUGAUGGGGUUAGCGGCAACGCGAAGCUCUUGAUCGAAGCCCCGGUAAACGGCGGCCGUAACUAUAACGGUCCUAAGGUAGCGAAAUUCCUUGUCGGGUAAGUUCCGACCUGCACGAAUGGCGUAAUGAUGGCCAGGCUGUCUCCACCCGAGACUCAGUGAAAUUGAACUCGCUGUGAAGAUGCAGUGUACCCGCGGCAAGACGGAAAGACCCCGUGAACCUUUACUAUAGCUUGACACUGAACACUGGUCCUUGAUGUGUAGGAUAGGUGGGAGGCUUUGAAGCGUGGACGCCAGUCUGCGUGGAGCCAACCUUGAAAUACCACCCUUUAAUGGCUGGUGUUCUAACGUAGACCCGUAAUCCGGGUUGCGGACAGUGUCUGGUGGGUAGUUUGACUGGGGCGGUCUCCUCCCAAAGAGUAACGGAGGAGCACGAAGGUUGGCUAAUCCUGGUCGGACAUCAGGAGGUUAGUGCAAUGGCAUAAGCCAGCUUGACUGCGAGCGUGACGGCGCGAGCAGGUGCGAAAGCAGGUCAUAGUGAUCCGGUGGUUCUGAAUGGAAGGGCCAUCGCUCAACGGAUAAAAGGUACUCCGGGGAUAACAGGCUGAUACCGCCCAAGAGUUCAUAUCGACGGCGGUGUUUGGCACCUCGAUGUCGGCUCAUCACAUCCUGGGGCUGAAGUAGGUCCCAAGGGUAUGGCUGUUCGCCAUUUAAAGUGGUACGCGAGCUGGGUUUAGAACGUCGUGAGACAGUUCGGUCCCUAUCUGCCGUGGGCGCUGGAGAAUUGAGGGGGGCUGCUCCUAGUACGAGAGGACCGGAGUGGACGCAUCACUGGUGUUCGGGUUGUCAUGCCAAUGGCACUGCCCGGUAGCUAAAUGCGGAAGAGAUAAGUGCUGAAAGCAUCUAAGCACGAAACUUGCCCCGAGAUGAGUUCUCCCUGAGACUUUAAGUCUCCUGAAGGAACGUUGAAGACGACGACGUUGAUAGGUCGGGUGUGUAAGCGCAGCGAUGCGUUGAGCUAACCGAUACUAAUGAACCGUGAGGCUUAACCUUACAACGCCGAAGGUGUUU
rnacentral:rRNA from 2 species